rnacentral:lncRNA from 10 species
CUCGGGAGGAGCAAACCACAAAAGCCAGGAGCAUACUCACUGUAUUCCAAGUCAUCAAGGCCUCUCCUGCAAAACCACUGCCACUGCUGCUAUGGUAUGCUUCUGCAUUUGGAAGGAAACUGCAAGCUUCUUCAAGACUUUUCUGGAACUGAGAACACCUGGCCAAACCUAGUAUGAAGGCUUUAGUGGUUUGGGAAAGCAUGUAUAGAUCAGGCUUAUGAAAAACAAUCUUCUCAUGUGCACUAUGUAUAACCCUGCCCCUAGUUUGUAAUUUGUCUCCUGCAAUCUAAAAGGGUUGUUCAGUACUUGGCAGAGGGGAGAAGUGUCCAGUCAGACACUUCAGGCAGGUCACCCCAGCUCCCUGAGUUCUAGUCUCUUUGUGAGCCGAUCAAAAGGACUGGACUAGAUCACUGUUAAAGUCCUUUCUGGAGUGUGGUACGAGAGACCUGAACUGCUGAAGCCCCAUACUUGUGACUUGCUAACUCCCUCUAGAGUCAUGUAUGCAUGACUUGGUAUAAAUCUUUCUCUCUGCAUACAUCCCUCUGCCCCAACUGCUAUGUGUGUGGGCUGGGGAGGGAUUACUUCUUUAACAAAGAUACUAUGAUUUGAAUGGUCAUAAACAAAAAGUAGUUUGUUAGACUUGAUCACUGAUAUCUUUCAGUAAGACCUAUUAUAAUUAUCUCAAAAUCUAUUUUUCAACCCAAAAUAAAACAACAAAAAAA